rnacentral:rRNA from 1 species
CGGUGUUCAACUGGCGUGCCCGCGGGACGUCCUGCCGGUGAGCUCAGCCCGCGAGGGCGGCUCAACUUGAAAUCCCAUCGCGGUGCUCUUCAUUGAGUGUCGAGGUGGGCCGGCACGAUUACUUUUGAACAAAUUAGAGUGCUUAAAGCAGGCUAAAAUUUUGCCUGAAUACUGUGUAUAUGGAAUAAUGGAAUAGGACCUCGGUUCUAUUUUGUUGGUUUUCGGAACCCCGAGGUAAUGAUUAAUAGGAACGGAUGGGGGCAUUCUUAUUGCGACAUUAGAGGUGAAAUUCUUGGAUCGUCGCAAGACGGACUAAAGCGAAAGCAUUUGCCAAAAACGCUUUCAUUGAUCAAGAACAAAAGUUAGAGGUUCGAAGGCGAUCAGAUACCGCCCUAGUUCUAACCAUAAACUAUGCCAGCUAGCGAUCCGCCGACGUCCCUCUGAUGACUCGGCGGGCAGCUUCCGGGAAAACAAAGCUUUUGGGUUCCGGGGGGAAGUAUGGGUUGCAAAGCUUAAACUUAAAGGAAUUGACGGAGGGGCACCACCAGGAGUGGAGCCUGCGGCUUAAUUUGACUCAACACGGGAAACCCUCACCAGGCCCAGACACUGGAAGGAUUGACAGAUUGAGAGCUCUUUCUUGAUUCAGUGGGUGGUGGUGCAUGGCCGUUUUUUGUCGGUGGAGCGAUUUGUCAGGUUAAUUCCGAUAACGGACGAGACUCUGACCUGAUAACUAGACGCACUUGCGGCAUCUCAAAGGUCCGCCGGCGGCUGGCUUUGCGCCCGUCGUCGCGCGCGAUUUUUACUGCCGGCGUACAAUAAAUUCUUCUUAGAGGGACAAGUGG